rnacentral:tRNA from 1 species
GGUCUGGUAGUUCAGUUGGUUAGAAUGCCUGCCUGUCAUGUAGGAGGUCGCGGGUUCGACUCCCGUCCAGACCG